GAUGAACGCUGGCGGCGUGCCUAAUACAUGCAAGUCGAGCGAACGGACGAGAAGCUUGCUUUUCUGAUGUUAGCGGCGGACGGGUGAGUAACACGUGGAUAACCUACCUAUAAGACUGGGAUAACUUCGGGAAACCGGAGCUAAUACCGGAUAAUAUUUUGAACCGCAUGGUUCAAAAGUGAAAGACGGUCUUGCUGUCACUUAUAGAUGGAUCCGCGCUGCAUUAGCUAGUUGGUAAGGUAACGGCUUACCAAGGCAACGAUGCAUAGCCGACCUGAGAGGGUGAUCUGCCACACUGGAACUGAGACACGGUCCAGACUCCUACGGGAGGCAGCAGUAGGGAAUCUUCCGCAAUGGGCGAAAGCCUGACGGAGCAACGCCGCGUGAGUGAUGAAGGUCUUCGGAUCGUAAAACUCUGUUAUUAGGGAAGAACAUAUGUGUAAGUAACUGUGCACAUCUUGACGGUACCUAAUCAGAAAGCCACGGCUAACUACGUG
rnacentral:rRNA from 1 species